rnacentral:rRNA from 1 species
GAUUAGAUACCCUAGUAGUCCACGCUGUAAACGAUGAGUACUAGGUGUUGGGGAAACUCAGCGCCGAAGUUAACACAAUAAGUACUCCGCCUGGGUAGUACGUUCGCAAGAAUGAAACUUAAAGGAAUUGACGGGGGCCCGCACAAGCAGUGGAGCAUGUGGUUUAAUUCGACGCUACGCGAAGAACCUUACCAGGACUUGACAUCUGAUUAAAGGCUCUAGAGAUAGAGAGAUAGUUAUAGUCAAGACAGGUGGUGCAUGGUUGUCGUCAGCUCGUGUCGUGAGAUGUUGGGUUAAGUCCCGCAACGAGCGCAACCCUUGUCCUUAGUUGCCAGCAGUAAGAUGGGAACUCUAAGGAGACCGCCGGUAUAAGCCGGAGGAAGAUGGGGAUGACGUCAAAUCAUCAUGCCCUUUAUGUCCUGGGCGACACACGUGCUACAAUGGCCGGUACAAAGAGAAGCAAGACCGCGAGGUGGAGCGAAUCUCAUAAAGCCGGUCUCAGUUCGGAUUGGAGUCUGCAACUCGACUCCAUGAAGUUGGAAUUGCUAGUAAUCGCGAAUCAGCAUGUCGCGGUGAAUACGUUCCCGGGCCUUGUACACACCGCCCGUCAAACCAUGAGAGCUGGUUUUACUCGAAGUCGUUAUUCUAACCGUAAGGGGGAAGGCGCCUAAGGUAGGACUGGUGAUUGGGGUUAAGUCGUAACAAGGUAUCCCUACGGGAACGUGGGGAUG